GAUACCAGCAAGAGGCUGCUCUAAAGAGCCACAGAAUCACAACUGGUUUCUUCACUUUUCUUCAGGAACUGGGGAAUGGGGUGAUUUUCAACAGUAUGGAAAAAAGUUGGAUACUGGAUUUGAAGAUCCAGUCAUUGUUUAAGAAGAUAAUAAAUCAUCAGAUAUUCAAACUCAUUCUAUGGUGACUAAAUCCCACAGGCUGGGCAGAUGUAUGGUCCUGACAACAGUUCAUCAGCAGCUCAAGGCAGAGGAAAGAGGAGGCAUGUUACUUCUUGCAAAGCAAGGUCUUUUUGUAUAUGCCGGUGGGCUCAGGGAGGACUUUUGGUUCUUAUACGAUCUAUUGUUUAGUGGUGGAGUAUAAAACAAACUAAAAUAUGAAAUCAUAUUCAUAUUCUGCAGUCUGUAAGGAUAGCUUGUAUCUUCACAGAUAGCAAUCCUUUUUCACAACAGUUUAAAUGUAGUCUUUCUGCUAUAAAGAUUCUAGAUGAUGUAGAGUCUCUCCUACAGUCUCUCCUAGAGACUGAUGUACAGUCUGUCCUAACAGUGACUCAUGAUUAUAUUUCAGUCUUUUUUCUAGGUCUAUAGCUUCUUUAAGAACUGUAACAUUUCAUUUAAUGAACCAUUUAAUCACAGUAUGAUGAAGAAUGCUUAGGUAGAAUUGUAUCAUUUUAGGGCAUAGAAAGUGAGCUAUAUUUAGAAGGACAUUAGAGAUACCAAAUCACUGAAUGGAUCCCAUUCAUGUGACAGUUUAAUUUUGUCACAUGCCAUGAGAUGAUAUAUCCAUAAUGCCCAUUGACUCCUCUGGACUUUGAGGCUGCUGAUACUGUAUAGAAUCAAACUCAGGGUUGGUAGAAAAAAUAUGUAAUCGAUUUUCCACUAGAGAAAUCUGCUGUGACAGAAACUUCUUUGUUAAACAAAUCACAGCAGUUUUGAGCUAAUAUUUUUUGUAAAAAUAAAAAUUGGCAAAUGUUUAAAA